GGGGGGAGGCCGGAUCCUGGGCCUGUCCCGGCGCCCAGGGCUCCCGGUCUCCGCUGUUGGAUUCGCGCCCCCGCCCACAGCCCCCU
rnacentral:pre_miRNA from 1 species